UGCGUAGGCGGCGCGGCAAGUUGGGUGUGAAAUCCCUCGGCUCAACCGAGGAACUGCGCCCAAUACUGCCGUGCUCGAGGGAGACAGAGGUGAGCGGAACUUAGGGUGGAGCGGUGAAAUGCGUUGAUAUCCUAAGGAACACCCGUGGCGAAAGCGGCUCACUGGGUCUCUUCUGACGCUGAGGCACGAAAGCUAGGGUAGCGAACGGGAUUAGAUACCCCGGUAGUCCUAGCUGUAAACGAUGAGCACUGGGUUGGAGGGUCCUCCAUAGCCUUCCAGCCGCAGCGAAAGUGUUAAGUGCUCCGCCUGGGGAGUAUGGUCGCAAGGCUGAA
rnacentral:rRNA from 1 species